GAAAAAUUGUGGUCUUUGAACUAAGAAUGAAAAAAGGCUGAAUGCAAGCCACAAGUGAAGUUAUCACUACCCUGUGCACACAGCAUCUUUUUCGGGACUUCUAUAAACGUAGCCAGAAAAAUGGAGAAAUCUUCUCAGCAAAAAGAAAACUGCAGUCAUGACUUGGAGAAGAUCUACUGAACAGUAAGGAGAUUCAGAACCUCAUGGGCAUCCCAGCAUGAGAGCUUUCACAACCCAUCCUGCCUCCAUCAAACCCUGUCCAGCAAGUCAUUUAUUUCUGAUGUGACAACAAAUCAUGCCACUGACCUAUAUUGAGUACCAUGCUCUCCUAAUGAUCAAUACCAGCAUUCACAGCUUGAAGGAACAUCUGCGACAAAACAGUAUUGGAAAGGUCAACGCCUGUUCUUG
rnacentral:lncRNA from 1 species